rnacentral:lncRNA from 1 species
GAAUAAAGAAAUCGCAAUGGAAGAGACACAAUGAGAUAAUUGACAAGAAAGGUAAAAUAAUGGAUACAGAGCAUGAACUCAAAAGCUCUUGGUAUGGAGGGGCCGAAGAUUGUGCUGGCUCUGAUACAUAUUAACGAAAAAAAUUAAUCCAAUAGAAAAUUGAUCCACAAUUAGUCUGAAUAAAAACAACCAAUUCAUUUCCCCCACUCUAUUUGUUUUAUUCUUUGGCAAAAAGCAACCCACUCUUUAGUAAAUUAUUGAAGCUGGAAAACAAUACCAUGGACCCCAAAAUGGUUUUGCAUGAUUAAUGUAUAAAUUCUCUUCCCCUCAUUCGUGCAUCUUAGUUUCCACUUCCUAAUAAGGCUGAGGUCAUCCAAGAUGAUCCCACUGCACCAUAUUAUUGUUGGCCUCCAUAGAGCUCCCCCUUAAUAGAUCCUUGGGCUUAAUGGCCAUAUAUCUAUAUAUAUAUGUAGAGUUCGGCUACUAUACUAUCGAUAGUAUCAAGUCCUUGGUACUCUUGAGUUUUCUACUGUUAGAUCUACCCUUUGAUCAUUUCCAUCCGUUAGAUUAUACUAUUAAACCAACCACCCACUCAACCCUAGGGGACCACUAUCAUUCUAACCGCACAUCCUUUCAUCCAACGGGCGAAAACUCAAUAGUAUCAUGGACUUGGUACUAUCGAUAGUAUAGUAGCAUAAUUCUAUAUAUAUAUAUAUAUAUAUAUAGUCCGGCUACUAUUCUUUUAUAAGUACGAUCGCGCUCGUACUCAUAAGUUGUUUUCGAUGAUAGAGCUUUCGAAUCGACUAUCCACACCGUUAAACGUUAUCUAGAACAUUUGAAACAUCUAGAAAUCAAAUUUCAUAAUUUUUCGACAUCAUUUACUUUAUGAUCAAAAGCUUACAAAAUUGACAAUUUUUAACAGCCGGUAUGGAAUACUUGCUAGUUUAACGGUGCAAAAGAAUCCGAAUAAGUUGAAUUUUUGAUAGAAAAUUCUAUUCACUACCUAGAUAAAGAUCAAUAACUCGAAUUUUAAAUUGAAGGAUCCAAUCAUCCAUUUUUAAGACAUCGUUCGAUUUUGACCGUUCAUUUUAUGUCUACUUGAUGAACUUUAUUAUAAUUUCGAAAAAUUACGAAAUUUAUUUUCUAGAAGUUUCAAAUACUCUAGAUCAUAUUUAAUGAAGUGGAUCGUCGAUUCGGAAGCUCCAUUAUCGAAAACAACUUAUGAGUACGAAGGGCCCAAUACUCAUAAUAGUAUAGUAGCCCUACUCUCUCUCUCUCUCUCUCUCUCUAUAUAUAUA